rnacentral:lncRNA from 1 species
UAUAUAGUGACUUAUGGUUGGGAAAGAUUAUUCUCAGAAUAAUCCUGUUGUUAUUAUUCCUAUUUUACAGAUGAGGAAAUGGAGAAAAAAGAAAUUAAGUGACUUGCCCAAGGUCAUCCAUCUAAACUUGUUUUGCAUCUAUCCAGUACAUGACUGUGGGCAGCUAUUGUUCAUCCUUUUUGAAGAAACCAGCAAUAUCACAGAUAUCAUGAUUGCCACUCCUACCUUCUUUCUGUCAGUUGAGGCCCAGAAGGUCUUACUCCAUCCUUUAAUUCUGACCUUGUGGUUGUCUACCUGCCUCAUGUGUGUUUCUUGAAGACAACAUAUGGUAGGGUUUUGGAUUUUAAUCCAUUCUGCUAUUUGUCUACCUUUUAUGGGUGAGUUCAUCCCAUUCACAUUCAAAGUUAUGACUGUCACUUGUGGACUCCCUGGCAUUUUGAUAUCCCUCCCUAAUUCUUACCUUUCUUCUUCAGCUCUACCUUUUAGUCCAGUGAUUUACUUUAAAUCAGUCCCCCUUGUUCCCUC